GGGGAUUUGGCUCAGAGGUAGAGUGCUUGCCUAGCAAGCGCAAGGCCCUGGGUUCGAUCCCCAGCUCCG
rnacentral:tRNA from 1 species